rnacentral:rRNA from 1 species
AGCGCAUACGGUGGAUGCCUUGGCAGUCAGAGGCGAUGAAAGACGUGGUAGCCUGCGAAAAGCUUCGGGGAGUCGGCAAACAGACUUUGAUCCGGAGAUCUCUGAAUGGGGGAACCCACCUAGGAUAACCUAGGUAUCUUGUACUGAAUCCAUAGGUGCAAGAGGCGAACCAGGGGAACUGAAACAUCUAAGUACCCUGAGGAAAAGAAAUCAACCGAGAUUCCCUUAGUAGUGGCGAGCGAACGGGGAUUAGCCCUUAAGCUUCAUUGAUUUUAGCGGAACGCUCUGGAAAGUGCGGCCAUAGUGGGUGAUAGCCCCGUACGCGAAAGGAUCUUUGAAGUGAAAUCGAGUAGGACGGAGCACGAGAAACUUUGUCUGAACAUGGGGGGACCAUCCUCCAAGGCUAAAUACUACUGACUGACCGAUAGUGAACCAGUACCGUGAGGGAAAGGCGAAAAGAACCCCGGAGAGGGGAGUGAAAUAGAACCUGAAACCGUAUGCGUACAAGCAGUGGGAGCCUACUUGUUAGGUGACUGCGUACCUUUUGUAUAAUGGGUCAGCGACUUAUAUUCAGUGGCAAGCUUAACCGUAUAGGGUAGGCGUAGCGAAAGCGAGUCUUAAUAGGGCGUUUAGUCGCUGGGUAUAGACCCGAAACCGGGCGAUCUAUCCAUGAGCAGGUUGAAGGUUAGGUAACACUGACUGGAGGACCGAACCCACUCCCGUUGAAAAGGUAGGGGAUGACUUGUGGAUCGGAGUGAAAGGCUAAUCAAGCUCGGAGAUAGCUGGUUCUCCUCGAAAGCUAUUUAGGUAGCGCCUCAUGUAUCACUCUGGGGGGUAGAGCACUGUUUCGGCUAGGGGGUCAUCCCGACUUACCAAACCGAUGCAAACUCCGAAUACCCAGAAGUGCCGAGCAUGGGAGACACACGGCGGGUGCUAACGUCCGUCGUGAAAAGGGAAACAACCCAGACCGCCAGCUAAGGUCCCAAAGUUGUGGUUAAGUGGUAAACGAUGUGGGAAGGCUUAGACAGCUAGGAGGUUGGCUUAGAAGCAGCCAUCCUUUAAAGAAAGCGUAAUAGCUCACUAGUCGAGUCGGCCUGCGCGGAAGAUGUAACGGGGCUCAAACCACACACCGAAGCUGCGGGUGUCACGUAAGUGACGCGGUAGAGGAGCGUUCUGUAAGCCUGUGAAGGUGAGUUGAGAAGCUUGCUGGAGGUAUCAGAAGUGCGAAUGCUGACAUGAGUAACGACAAUGGGUGUGAAAAACACCCACGCCGAAAGACCAAGGGUUCCUGCGCAACGUUAAUCGACGCAGGGUUAGUCGGUUCCUAAGGCGAGGCUGAAAAGCGUAGUCGAUGGGAAACAGGUUAAUAUUCCUGUACUUCUGGUUACUGCGAUGGAGGGACGGAGAAGGCUAGGCCAGCUUGGCGUUGGUUGUCCAAGUUUAAGGUGGUAGGCUGAAAUCUUAGGUAAAUCCGGGGUUUCAAGGCCGAGAGCUGAUGACGAGUCGUCUUUUAGAUGACGAAGUGGUUGAUGCCAUGCUUCCAAGAAAAGCUUCUAAGCUUCAGGUAACCAGGAACCGUACCCCAAACCGACACAGGUGGUCGGGUAGAGAAUACCAAGGCGCUUGAGAGAACUCGGGUGAAGGAACUAGGCAAAAUGGCACCGUAACUUCGGGAGAAGGUGCGCCGGCUAGGGUGAAGGAUUUACUCCGUAAGCUCUGGCUGGUCGAAGAUACCAGGCCGCUGCGACUGUUUAUUAAAAACACAGCACUCUGCAAACACGAAAGUGGACGUAUAGGGUGUGACGCCUGCCCGGUGCCGGAAGGUUAAUUGAUGGGGUUAGCGCAAGCGAAGCUCUUGAUCGAAGCCCCGGUAAACGGCGGCCGUAACUAUAACGGUCCUAAGGUAGCGAAAUUCCUUGUCGGGUAAGUUCCGACCUGCACGAAUGGCGUAACGAUGGCGGCGCUGUCUCCACCCGAGACUCAGUGAAAUUGAAAUCGCUGUGAAGAUGCAGUGUAUCCGCGGCUAGACGGAAAGACCCCGUGAACCUUUACUGUAGCUUUGCACUGGACUUUGAGCCUGCUUGUGUAGGAUAGGUGGGAGGCUUUGAAGCGUGGACGCCAGUUCGCGUGGAGCCAUCCUUGAAAUACCACCCUGGCAUGCUUGAGGUUCUAACUCUGGUCCGUAAUCCGGAUCGAGGACAGUGUAUGGUGGGCAGUUUGACUGGGGCGGUCUCCUCCUAAAGAGUAACGGAGGAGUACGAAGGUGCGCUCAGACCGGUCGGAAAUCGGUCGCAGAGUAUAAAGGCAAAAGCGCGCUUGACUGCGAGACAGACACGUCGAGCAGGUACGAAAGUAGGUCUUAGUGAUCCGGUGGUUCUGUAUGGAAGGGCCAUCGCUCAACGGAUAAAAGGUACUCCGGGGAUAACAGGCUGAUACCGCCCAAGAGUUCAUAUCGACGGCGGUGUUUGGCACCUCGAUGUCGGCUCAUCACAUCCUGGGGCUGAAGCCGGUCCCAAGGGUAUGGCUGUUCGCCAUUUAAAGUGGUACGCGAGCUGGGUUUAGAACGUCGUGAGACAGUUCGGUCCCUAUCUGCCGUGGACGUUUGAGAUUUGAGAGGGGCUGCUCCUAGUACGAGAGGACCGGAGUGGACGAACCUCUGGUGUUCCGGUUGUCACGCCAGUGGCAUUGCCGGGUAGCUAUGUUCGGAAAAGAUAACCGCUGAAAGCAUCUAAGCGGGAAACUUGCCUCAAGAUGAGAUCUCACUGGGAACUUGAUUCCCCUGAAGGGCCGUCGAAGACUACGACGUUGAUAGGCUGGGUGUGUAAGCGUUGU